rnacentral:lncRNA from 1 species
CUGCAAACUGAUACUUGAGAGGGCCACACCUUUCACAGCAGGCUUUCUCUAGGGAGGCUAGACUUCACUGAAGGGAAAUGAAUGAUGGAGUGAGUGAGUCCUCUCCUGACCAAGGUUAAGAACAAAUAUGAGUGCCCAGCUCAGUGCUUGAAUUGGUUGUAGGUACAAUGACCCUGAGAUUUGCCUGUACUCUAAGGGAUGUCUGCUAGAAAUAUCACUGAUCUAUAGACAGAAGACAUCUGUUCACCAACCUAUUGGGAGGAUGUAGUUGACAUAAAUAGUACCUUCUCACAAAAUUUGUUUUGUGUCUGCCAUGCAAUAAUAAACCAAAUAUUUAUAAAUUGGAAACUAGCCAUUUCCAUUUUUAUCAGUCAAAAGUAAUAAGAUUUUCUAAGUUAAUCAUCAGGCAUUGCCCCUGGUGAUUGGCAUUAUAUCACACACCCAGCUGCCAAAAGCCAUUUUCUUUGCUACUGGGAAGAAAGCUAAAAUGAGUAAUGUUAUCCAAACUUCCCUAAAUUCCAAAAAGGCUUUGGACUUGAAGCGGGACUCAUUUAUAAACACAUCUAUUUAAGCCUGGUGUUUUUGCUUGCUGUUACAGGGACUAUAUCAUAAAUGUGCAUUCUUUAGAUGAAAGAUCCUUCUCAUAGAAUGACAAUUCUGUUAAAAACCCAUUAUAUUAUGUCACAUGAAAAAUGAAAAAUUCACAUUGUAUAUGUAACAUAAUAAUAAUGAAGGAUGAAAGGGAAGAACUUCUGCUUGGAAAAAUGACUGAAAACAUACAAUGAAUAUUAAAAACUGUGAGGCUUUGAAUGGAUUUUUUUUCCUCUUUCCACAUUUAAGGGCUUUCUACUUCUUAAUCAGAACUUAUUACUAGGUCAUAAACUUAUGAAAACAUUGAAACAUUGUAUUUUAGAAUGUGUUUUAAUUUUCCUAUAGCAAUUUCAUUGCUUUUCACUUAUGUUACAAAUGUAAAACAUUUAGCAUUUUAUUAGAAUCAUUUGAAAUCAUGAACUUCUCAAACAAAAUAUUUUAAUUCAUUUAAUUGUUAAAUAAAUUGCAAUAUGCUUGCUCUAACAGGAAAAAAACUUUUUCAAAAUCUAUAAAUAAGAAACUACUAUUAAAACAGUUUUCAUUUGAUAUUCCCUGUGAAUUAAAGUAUUAUUUAAGGGUAUCAGAAAGGAAGUAUUACAUUUAACUUCCAGUCAAACCCAGUUUCUGGUUAUUUUAUAAAAAUAUCUAUUAAUACGAGGAAUUUUAUAUCUUUAUCUAUAUAUAGAUAUAGAUACUGAUAGAUAUAUAUUCAUUGAGAAAGCUGCUUAUAAUUUGAGAAUAUUAGUCAUGGAGUUUUCACACAUUUACUGGUUUCGUACUACCACAUGUUUUCCUCCUGCCUCUCUUUUCCAUCUUUAGCUUAAAAAAGGGAAAGAAGAGGAGGAGGAGGAGGAAGAGGAGAAGGAGGAGGAGGAAGCAGAGAAGGAGGAGGAGGAGGAGAAAAGGAUUUGAAGAAAUUGAAUCAGUUCUGGAACAGCAGACACAGAUGUUCAAAUUAUGUCAUUAUGUGUGAGAAAAAUUAUGAUACUGAGAUAGAUGACAAACCCUCAAUGAGGUUCUCAAUGAUUAAGAACCAUCAUCUCUGUCAUCAAUUAAUUAGCUCAAGUGUAAGUAUUUUCUGAUUUUUUCUUACACAUUGCAAAUAUUUUCUGCCAAAUUGUUGUUUGUGUGCAUUGGGAAGUGGGAUGGGGGGGUUGUAGAGACAGGUGUCUCACUGUGUUGCCCAGGCUGGUCUUGAGCUCCUGGACUGAAGAGAUCCUCCUGCUUGGCUUCUCAAAGCGCUGGGAUUACAGGUGCAAGCCACUGCACCCAGCCAAACUGUGGCUUUUUAACAACAUUUUGUUUGUUUUCUUUUUUUUCCUCUUUUUUUUUCCCUUUUAACAACAUUUUUAAUGAUAUCUUUUGUCAUUGCUUAAUAUUUUGCUUUUAUCUAAUUAAGUUGCUCAAUCUUUUCUUUUUCUAACUCUGGGUUUCAUGUUGAAGGAAUUCAGGACAUGCUACCCCAAAAUGUGAAAACUUGGCAUUUGAGAAGACAGCAGAAGCAGGAAGGUCACGCUCACUACCUCCCCCACAAUGCUCUACUCCCCUGAAACAGAUCAUAAAACCUAGGAAGGAUUUCCUGACCAUCCCCUCAAGUAGGUCUUAUGACCCUCAUGUGAGAGGUGCCCUCCCUAUACCCAGAAGAUAGCAACAUCCUCAUUUCUGAAGAUACAAGGACAAAGAGAAGAGUUUGAACAAACGGCUUCCUAAGUUCUCCCCAGUUUAUUAACAUUAUGUUACAGUCUCACCAACGCACCGCAAUGUAGCAGUCUCUCGUUUGAGGUAUCACCCUGAGUUCUCGGUCUCACAACCAUGACAAUUAAGGAACAUGAUCACCAAGGGUGAGGUUGGAGUGGAAGUUUAAUAAGCAAAAGAAGAAAGUUCUCCACCACAGAAAGGGGCCCAAAAGAGGGUUGCCAUUUUUACAGUUGAAUGCAAAGGCUUUUAUAAGAAACCAGUUAGAGCUGGGCAUCUCAUUUGCAUGAGAUGCGAAUUUCUGGUAGCUCCACCCCAUCCUCCUAAUGCACAUGUAGGCCCUUAGCUUGAGUUACUCCGUAUUGCUUUGUUGCCCUUACUGCACAUGUGUCAGGGGAUGGAAUUUUCCAUUACGGGCAUGUCUGGGCAAGUCACCUGUGUAGGCUUUCUUAUCUGUGUGGCUGUGGGCAUGUCUUAGGCAAGUGCCGCUGUGCAAGUUCCCUUAUCUGUGCCUGCAGCUUGAUUUUUCUGGCUGUUCUUUUGUUUGAAAAGAUUCAACCAAGGACCCACCAUAACUGCCUGCCUGACUGGUUUCUUCCUCCUUCCUCUCUCAAUGAUAUCAUUCUCCCUUUGUUCAAUCAUAUUUCUUCAUCAAACCUAGCAUAAAGAAUAUACAAAUUUAUGCAUUUGGGGGAGGUCUUCCUUUCCUUAUGAAGGCUUCCAUACCACGUAUAAAUAAUAUGUGUAUGAUUUUCUCUUGUGAAUCUGUAUUUUGUUAUAGGGGCCUCAGCCAUGAACCUAGAGAUUAGUGAGCAAAAAUUAUUUUUUUCUCAAGUGUUUCUUGCUUGAGAUGAUUUUCUUAUCCCCAAGAUUAAAAUAUUAUGUGUUUCUUCCAUGAUUUUUAUGGUGUUUAUAUCUAUUUCUUUAAUCUUUCUAGAAUGUACUUUUGUACAUGCUGAAAGGUAGAAUUAAUUUUGCAAAAAGGAAAAAGCUACUUGCUACUUUUACUAUAAUUAUAAUUAUAUAAUUAUUAUUAAGGUUUUUUCUUUCUUCUUUCUUUUUUUUUUUUUUUUUUUUUUUUUUUUUUUUUUGAGAUAGGGUCUCACUCUGUCACCCAGGCUAGAGUGUAGUGGUGCAAUCUGGGCUCACUGCAACCUCUGCCUCCCAGGUUCAAGUGAUCCUCCAAACUCAGCUUCCCAAGUAGCUGGGACUACAGGCAUGUGCCACCACAAUUAUUAUUUCAUUAGACCCUCUCUGGAUCUUGUUCCAUCUCUAAUAUCUCUGCCAAAUGCUCCGAAUCAGGUAGAUAUAUUUAAAUUCUAGCUGGUGCAAAGAAGGAAUAAUUUGAAAAAGAAGAAAUAAUUUUAAUGCACAUGCAAGUAAUAUACGUAUUCAUCUAGUUACUUGCAUGCAUUUGUGGCCAAAAGCCAUGAAUCAUAUAAAGAAGUAGCUGCAGCCAGGCACGGUAGCUCAUGCCUGUAAUCCUAGCACUUUGGGAGGCCAAGGGCGGGGGAGGGGGUGGAUUACCUGAGGUCAGGAGUUCGAGACCAGCCUGGCCAACAUGGUGAAACCCUGUCUUUACUAAAAAUACAAACAUUAGCUGGUCAUGGUGGUGGGUGCCUAUAAUCCCAGCUACUUGGGAGGCUGAGGAGAAUUGCUUGAACCCAGCAGAUGGAGGUUGCAGUGAGCUGAGAUUGUGCCACUUUACUCCAGCCUGGGUGAAACAGCAAAACUCCAUCUCAAAAAAAAAAGUAGCUUCAAUGCUGUUUUCAAGAUACUUAAGCCAAUUUGGUCAUACACCCUUAUUAGUUGCUUUAUGAUUAGCUCUCCAAAGCUUCCAGUAAUUAGAAUUUGGUGACAACCAUAGAGACUUCAAUUCCAAAUGGUAUGUUAUAAUGAAAGCAAAUUUCAGACCUCAUUCAGCCAUGGGUAUAAAUAUGUAUUAGCAAUCAGGCCCUCCAAAUAGUCAUACUACCCGUUUUAUAAGCUUGAUGAAGUCUUAGCUCUCUGACCUUUCAGUGUUCCCACAGAACCUUAUGAGCGUCAGAGACAGGAGGACCAUGUUCCAGCUUUGGAGCAGGAUUAACUAACUCUCAAAUGAGAGUCAGGUGAAAAAUUCUCUCACUACAGUCUAGAAUUUCAAGCCUGGAGAGAUAAUUCAAACAGUCUAGAAUUUCAAGCCUGGAGACAUAAUUCAAAAUGAAUAGACAGGCUAGCUGGACUUUUACACCUCAUUUAUGCAAAGGCAAGAGUAUCCAUAAGACAUUUUUAUCCAAUCCACAUAAAAUUGAAUUCAUUUUACCAGUAAAAAAUCAUUUCUAACAUCCCUUAUGCUAAUUAACAAACCCCCUGGGAUUGAUAUGAGAUAAAGACGACUGGAGCCAUAAUCUAAUCCUUCUGGAAUGUGGCUUCUGAAUGGAGAAUUUCUUUUUUUGUGUGUGAGAUGAAGCCUCACUUUGUUGCUGAGGCUGGAGUGCAGUGGCACGAUCCCGGCUCACUGCAACCUCUGCCUCCCAGUUUCAAGCGAUUCUCCUGCUUUAGCCCCCACCAAGUAGCUGAAAUUACAGACAUGAACCCAAUGCCUAGCUAAUUCUUUUUUUGAAUUUUUAGUAGAGACGGGGUUUUGCCAUGUUGGCCAGGCUGGUCUCGAACUCCCGACUUCAAGUGAUCCACACCCACCUUGGCCUCACAAAGUCCCGGGAUUACCUGCGUGAGCCACCAAGCCAAGCCUGAACUGACAAUUUCAAAUAUUAACCUACCAUCCAGGAGUAUAUUUUUCCUGAGAGAGUUCAGAAAUAUCACCCCAAAAUAUGCAGCAUUGGUAUGCUGAUUACUUCAAACUGAAGUCAUUUGGGAAAUGCCAAACGCACAGAGGGGCUUUUCCUGAAUUUCCCUUAUCUGACUAAGUGCAGAUUCUCCAGAAGGAAGCCAAUUGUCAAGAAAUGCUUCCUGGGGAUUUUUAUCUAUCCGUGAAGAUUAACACACAACAGAAGUCAAACCUAGAAAAAGCUGGAGGUUAGCACCUCCUACAGACAGGAUAUAACCUAUUCUUCUGAAGGCUGAUUCGUACUUUUCAUAAUCAUUUACUCUCCCUAGGUUGCCUACAUACUCCCCUUCCCUCUCUCUUAUGAAGGGAAUAUA